CACUGUUCAGGUUUUGGAAGUGAACUAUUCUUUAUUAAUGACGUUAUUUGUUAAGUCUUGUACUUGUGUUUUCCAGGUUUACUGGUUCAGCUGCUGCAGCCUGGUCAGUAACCCCAGCUCUCACCCUACAAAUUAAACAGGUGUCACCACUUCACUAUCACAGAGUCUUUGUACAAUGAAGAAGUUCUUUGAGACCAGGAUUGAGAACUCCAGGUGUCACCACUUCAUCCACAACAUCAUCCAUGAUCACAGACACGUCGUCCAUGAUUGGAGAGACAUUGAGGAAGAGGGAGACAUUGUCCACAGUCAGACACAUUGUCCCUGAUCGCAGAGACCUUGUCAAAGACGAGAGAGAUGUUGUCCAUGAUGUCGGAAGAUAUUAUUGGUCCCCGAUAAGUCAGCAUCCCCGGCGUUCAUUGAGACAUUGUCGAUGAUCACAGAGACACCCAUCUAGGAUCUCAGAGACAUCGUCCACGACCACUAAGACAUUGCCCAUAAUUGCAGAGACUUUGUCCAUAAUCACAGAGACAUUGUCCGCGAUUACAGAGAGUCUUCGUACAAUGAAGAAGUUCUUUAAGACCAGGACAGAGGCCUCCAGGUGUCACCACUUCAUCCACGACACAAUCACAGAGACAUCGUCCAUGAUCACAGAGACUUCGUCCAAACCUUGGUUUCACCAUGAAGAAGUUCUUUGAGACGAGGACUGAGCCCUCCAGGUGUCACCACUUCAUCCACGACAUCAUCCACAAUUGCCAAGACGUCCACGAUCAGAGACAUUGUCCACGAUUGGAGAGACAUAGUCAAAAAUCGCAGUGACCGAGUUCCCCGAUUUGAAAGCAUCGUCCACAGUCAGAGUGAGAUGAUCAUAGAGACAUUGUCCAUAAUCUUAGAAACACUGUCUGCGAUCACAGAGAUGUAGUCCAUCGCUGAGGUGUUGUCCAUGAUCACAUCUUCAUACAAUUAAGAAGUUCUUUGAGACCAGGACAGAGGUCUCCAGGUAAUUCACAAACAGCUUCACAUCAACUGUCCAACACAGAGCACUGACAUUAAAUUGUUUAUGGUCAGUAUUCAGUAUAUCAGAAAAUUGUAACUUUUUUUUUUAACCAUUUUUAAUGCUUGACUAUAUGACAUGUUUUGGCCGUUUUUGACGCCUUACCAUACUAUGACCUUUGUAUGAGCAUUUUUGAUGCCUUACCUGUCAUGCGGCUUCAGACAAAGGAACUGUCUUAAAGCAGCCAUCUUACCUUUGCUUUCCACAGAUACCCAUAUACAGAUACACAGUCACACAACAGUGUUUGUGGGUUAGGUUAGAUUUUAUCAAUUAAUUUAAAUGUUUUUGCUAUUUCAAACAGUGCAAUAUCAGCACUCAAAUCCAAUCUAUUACUGAGUACAUAGUCCUGUUAUAUUGUUGUUAAUAAUAUUUAUAAUAUUGUUAUAUUAGUAUCUUUUUUUUAUAUCUUGACUUGUUUGUAUCAUGCCCGUUUCUAUUUUACUCAAAUAAAUA